GCUAGGAUGUUGGCUUGGAAGCAGCCAUUCAUUUAAAGAGUGCGUAACAGCUCACUAGUCGAGGAAUUUGGCGUGGAUAAUAAUCGGGUAUCAAGUUGUCUGCCGAAGCCAUGGAACCUUUAAGGUUGGUAGGGGAGCAUUCCAUUCAGCGUCGAAGGCGUGGCGCGAGCCACUCUGGAGCGUAUGGAAAAGCAAAUGUAGGUAUAAGUAACGAUAAAGGGGGUGGGAAACCCCCUCGCCGAAAGACUAAGGUUUCC
rnacentral:rRNA from 1 species